ensembl:lncRNA
UUUUUUUUGUCGCAUCUUGCUUUCCCAAAGGCACCCACUCUGGCCUAUUCCUCCUCGCAGCACAUCAUUUAAAUAUCUUGACAAAAUGUUUUCCAGCGAGGCAGAGCUCACUCUUGUCCUGGCAUGAAUAUCUAUCAUGAAGCUGUCAUGAUAUCCUGUCCUGAAAUGAGAUGAGAAAAGUUAUCUGAUCCCUGGAGACUGAAAUGAAUAACGGUGCUGCUGGUUUCCAUCAGCAGGGCCAGCAGCGGAGGCUGAGAGGGGCCCAGCUCAGCUGGUCUUUAAUUCAGUGCAGAGCAUCUUGGACAUCGAGAAGGCAGCAAUAAGAAGCUCGCCGGCCACUGUGUACACACAGGAGCAUGGAGCAUAAUGGAGUGACACCGGCUACCCUCUCCUUAGCUGACUUCAAGAGACUAAAGAAAAUUUAAGACUCAAGAGUCUCCACAUGAUUGAGAAGUCAGAGAGGUGUAUGGGGAAGUCCUCUUGCCUGGAAGCCAGAUAACCUGGAUUCACUUCCAAGUUUACCCCUGACUUCCUUGUGAAGACAUGGCGAGAAGUUGGUCAUCUACCAGCCAGGAAGAGAGCCCUCACCAAGAACCCAAGCAUGCUGGUACCCUAAUCUCAGCCUUCCAGCCUCCAGAACUGCAAUUUUCCUGUGUGUUGGUGAGCCGAAAUCUACAUGUCAUCAACCAAUUGGAUUGGAUGAAAUCCAAAGAAUGAACUAUUAGAAACAAAAUUUGGUUGGUCGCUGUUUGGGAUGUGAAAUGGUUUUGUAAGCAUUUCAGCUUGAUGCCCAGGCAGGCAGUCACAAUAAUUCUUCUCCAAAUAAAUGAGGACUACUAUUUUUUUAUUCAUUACUUCAAUAAGAAAAGUUUAACCAGUGAAAGGAUUUGCAAAACACUGCAUCAUAAAAAUCCUAAAGUCAAUCACAACAGAAGUUAGUGCUCUGUAAAUAUUUUUGCAAAGGUUUGGACGAUCUUUUCUUCCUAUAAAUACUUGUCUACCCAGUAAAGGAAAUGAAAAGUCAAAAGAGAAAAAUGUGUUGUCUCAUUUAUAGUUUGGAACAGCAAAUAUUAUUGAAUUCAGCAGAACUUUUAUUGUGUGCUUUGUGAGUUAUACAUAAGGUGGAAAAGUGGAGUACAUUUCAAGCCAACAUAUUAAGCAACAUAGAAGUGACUUCUGUAAUUAAAUCAUUUUUUAAUCAUCAAAAUUGAAAAUAAGAGAAAACAACUUCUGAAGUCCAGGGUCAAUCAGCUAAAUAAACUCAAGUCAUUCAGUCAACUAGCAUUGAUUGGAUUUCAGCAAGAUGAAAUCGACUUUGCUCCAACUCCACCCACUUCACAAACUAAUUAAAAAAGUACAUCAGCGACAUCUUCAAUCAGCUCAGGAAGAUAAGUGGGCUUCAAAGUAAUCAACUACAAAACUCUGUCAAGAAUAGCAAUAGAUCCUCAAAGAACUUUGGGGAGCUUUCUCAAAGUUAUUCACGUCAAUCAGAAGAACAAAAACUCAGAGCCAUGUGAUUGUAAUUUUAGGGGACCUUUUUGGACAAUGUGGCUGACUUAUAAGAAAGAAAACCACACACCAGCAGGGCAUAUAUUAGCAUCCAAGAUCUCACUCAACUUCAGUCCACCUAAAUUCCCA